UGAAAUGAAGAAGAUAUGUACACGUGGACGUUAAAAGCGUUGUGAAGGAGACUUAAAAGUAACACGUGGUGCGAUAGUGGUGGUGCGGUCUCAGACGGGCGCGGCCCACGACAGUGGUCGAUGAGAGAGCGAAGGGUUGCCUGGCAACCCUCACACCCCGUACGAUCUCGGCCAGCAUCCCCCAUAGAUUUCAUCUUCUCGACUUCUAGCAGUAUGCGACUACUACUACUACGUUGCCUCCAUAGUUGGCCUCGGGUAUAACCUGUUGAGUCGUAUUGAUCCCGACGUUUCUAUCCUCUCCUUCCCUAAUGUCUAGGGCUAGAAGAGCUAGAGAGAAAGCUAGAGAGAGAGAGAGAGAAAGAGAGAGAGAGAGAGAGAGAGAGAGAGAGAGAGAGAGAAGAGAGAGAGAGAGAGAGAAAGAGAGCUAAAUAGACAAAGGUUUCUAAUGAUUUGUAAUCCAAAUUCAAAAGAAAAAUUCAAUAUAAUUGUACUUUUUCCUACUAGUUCAUCAGUCAAAAACUUAUUGUCAUUGUACCGGACUAAUUGGUUUUCUCCGAAAUUUGACCGAGAGCAUAUUUAAACACAGUUGAUUACGAUAAUGAGAAAUACUUACAACGCCACCACCGGCACUGUGUAGCAAAAGCGACUUUCCAGGCGUUAGAUUAGCCAAUUCGAAGAGUAAGAUGUACGCUACGGUGUAAUUCAUAGUAGUAGCAGCCGCAUCCAAGUAACUCAUGCCAGUU